ensembl:lncRNA
UUUUUUUUUUUUUUUUUUUUUACAAGUAGGAAGAAUUUAUUGAGAGAAAGCUUGUCUAAGAGAGACAGAAGACUGACCAGAAAGUGGGUUGCCUGACCACUCUACUUCCCAGUGGUAUUUUAUUGAGCAAAGCCAUGAGGUGAGUGUCAACAGAAUGAUAGUGAAGGAUUAGCUGUGGGAUGAUGGUGGGGCUUGAUCUGAAACAGUGGCUUACGAGUGACGCACCCUACUGGAUGUGAGAAUGAUGGGAGACAAGAACACAAAUGAUGCUGGCCUGACAUCCCCCUGGCUUGUAAAAGAUGACACAUUCUUCUCUGGAUAAACCAGCUUCCAUG